rnacentral:rRNA from 1 species
CUAUUUAAAUAAAUAAAAAAAUAAUGAACUGAAACAUCUAAGUAGUUAUUUAAUAAAUUAACCAAGAGCUCUCUAGUAGUGGUGAGCGAAAAAGAGUCAGAUUUUAUAUAUAUGAUUAAUAAAUCUUUAAUAAAUGCGGAAUCAUUAGCCAUAGAAGGUGAUAGCCCUGUAAAACAAUAUUAAUUAUAUAUUUAAUAAAGUAGAACGAAAUAAGAUAAUUUUGUUUGAAUUUUAUUGGAGGACCACCUUCAAAAUCUAAAAUGUUCAAUAAUCGAUAGCGCACAAGUACUGCGAAGGAAAGAUGAAAAGAAACUAAACCGUGUUGAAAUAAUUUUUGAAAUUGAACACUUAAAAUCAAUCAAAGUUUUUAUAUAAGAAUAAUGAUGUACCUUUUGUAUAAUGGGUCAGUGAGUUAAUUGAUUUAGCAAGCUUAAAUUGUAAAAUG